UACGUAGGUGCCAAGCGUUAUCCGGAAUUAUUGGGCGUAAAGCGCGCGCAGGUGGUUUCUUAAGUCUGAUGUGAAAGCCCACGGCUCAACCGUGGAGGGUCAUUGGAAACUGGGAGACUUGAGUGCAGAAGAGGAAAGUGGAAUUCCAUGUGUAGCGGUGAAAUGCGUAGAGAUAUGGAGGAACACCAGUGGCGAAGGCGACUUUCUGGUCUGUAACUGACACUGAGGCGCGAAAGCGUGGGGAGCAAACAGG
rnacentral:rRNA from 1 species